rnacentral:sRNA from 1 species
ACUUGCCAUUGUCAACCUCACUCGCUCUUUCCCUUUGUUUACACCGGAGACCAAAAAGCUGUAAUUCUCCUGAACCGAAAGCCAUAUUGACAUAUCUCAACAAACAGUUGGCUUUUUGCCAUUGCCAUUGCCAUUGCCGUUCACGAUGCUAUGCACAUUCAAGUCGUGUUAACCUAUAUCCACUCCUCCUCGAUAAAGUCAUCUGAUUCGAGGUGAAUUGAGUGACCGACCAACUGCUUGCGCAAUGGGUGAUUUCGGGGAUCCCGCACCCCCGCUGAAGCGGAGAAAAGUCGCAGGAACCGUUGGCAAUGGUGCGGGAGACCGAAAAAAGGGGGUUUCAAUGGGUGGACAUACCGCAGAUGAUGUGACCAGAACUACG